rnacentral:rRNA from 1 species
UUGCCAGUAGUCAUAUGCUUGUCUUAAAGAUUAAGCCAUGCAUGUCUAAGUAUAAGCAAUUAUACAGCGAAACUGCGAAUGGCUCAUUAAAUCAGUUAUCGUUUAUUUGAUAGUACCUUACUACAUGGAUAACCGUGGUAAUUCUAGAGCUAAUACAUGCUGAAAACCCCGACUUUGGAAGGGGUGUAUUUAUUAGAUUAAAAACCAAUGCCCUCCGGGGCUCACUGGUGAUUCAUGAUAACUUCUCGAAUCGCACGGCCUUGCGCCGGCGAUGGUUCAUUCAAAUUUCUGCCCUAUCAACUUUCGACGGCUGGGUCUUGGCCAGCCGUGGUGACAACGGGUAACGGAGGGUUAGGGCUCGACCCCGGAGAAAACGCCUGAGAAACGGCGUUUACAUCCAAGGAAGGCAGCAGGCGCGCAAAUUACCCAAUGCCGACACGGCGAGGUAGUGACGAGAAAUACUGAUACAGGGCUCUUUUGGGUCUUGUAAUUGGAAUGAGUACAAUUUAAAUCUCUUAACGAGGAACAAUUGGAGGGCAAGUCUGGUGCCAGCAGCCGCGGUAAUUCCAGCUCCAAUAGCGUAUA